AGUGAACGCUGGCGGUAGGCCUAACACAUGCAAGUCGAACGGCAGCACAGUAAGAGCUUGCUCUUACGGGUGGCGAGUGGCGGACGGGUGAGGAAUACAUCGGAAUCUACUUUUUCGUGGGGGAUAACGUAGGGAAACUUACGCUAAUACCGCAUACGACCUACGGGUUAAAGCAGGGGAUCUUCGGACCUUUCGCGUUUGUAUGAGCCGAUGUCGGAUUAGCUAGUUGGCGGGGUAAAGGCCCACCAGGGCGACGAUCCGUAGCUGGUCUGAGAGGAUGAUCAGCCACACUGGAACUGAGACACGGUCCAGACUCCUACGGGAGGCAGCAGUGGGGAAUAUUGGACAAAGGGCGCAAGCCUGAUCCAGCAAUACCGCGUGGGUGAAGAAGGCCUUCGGGUUGUAAAGCCCUUUUGUUGGGAAAGAAAAGCAGCAGGUUAAUACCCCGCUGUUCUGACGGUACCCAAAGAAUAAGCACCGGCUAACUUCGUG
rnacentral:rRNA from 1 species